rnacentral:rRNA from 1 species
UGGGGAAUAUUGCACAAUGGGCGCAAGCCUGAUGCAGCCAUGCCGCGUGUAUGAAGAAGGCCUUCGGGUUGUAAAGUACUUUCAGUCGGGAGGAAGGUGUCAAGGUUAAUAACCUUGGCAAUUGACGUUACCGACAGAAGAAGCACCGGCUAACUCCGUGCCAGCAGCCGCGGUAAUACGGAGGGUGCAAGCGUUAAUCGGAAUUACUGGGCGUAAAGCGCACGCAGGCGGUUGAUUGAGUCAGAUGUGAAAUCCCCGGGCUUAACCCGGGAAUUGCAUCUGAUACUGGUCAGCUAGAGUCUUGUAGAGGGGGGUAGAAUUCCAUGUGUAGCGGGGAAAUGCGUAGAGAUGUGGAGGAAUACCGGUGGCGAAGGCGGCCCCCUGGACAAAGACUGACGCUCAGGUGCGAAAGCGUGGGGAGCAAACAGG